rnacentral:lncRNA from 1 species
ACUUUAAGUUCUAGGGUAUUCAAUGUGCAGGUUUGUUACAUAUGUAUACAUGUGCCAUGUUGGUGUGCUGCACCCAUUAACUCAUCAUUUACAUUAGGUAUUUCUUCUAAUGCUAUCCCUCCCUUCCCCUAACCCCAUGACAGGCCCUGGUGUGUGAUGUUCUCCACCCUGUGUCCAAGUGUUCUCAUUGUUCAAUUCCCACCUAUGGGUGAGAACAUGCGGUGUUUGGUUUUCUGUCCUUGUGAUAGUUUGCUGAGAAUGAUGGUUUCCAGCUUCAUCCGUGUCGAUACAAAGGACAUGAACUCAUCCUUUUUUAUGGCUGCAUAGUAUUCCAUGGUGUAUAUGUGCCACAUUUUCUUAAUACAGUCUAUCAUUGUUGGACAUUUGGGUUGGUUCCAAGUCUUUGCUGUUGUGAAUAGUGCUGUAAUAAACAUACGUGCGCAUGUGUCUUUAUAGUCUCAUGAUUUAUAAUCCUUUGGGUAUAUACCCAGUAAUGAGAUCGCUGGGUCAAAUGGUAUUUCUAGUUCUAGAUCCUUGAGGAAUCGCCACACUGUCUUCCACAAUGGUUGAAGUAGUUUACAGUCCCACCAACAGUGUAAAAGUGUUCCUAUUUCUCCACAUCCUC